GGCAUUUCAGGCAGUGGAAUUGGGGCACAAAGUCACAUAGUGAUGAAACUGAAUGGCAUGUUUAGAAUGAUGUUGCUGGAGGGUAAAAGGAGGAUGAUGGAGGUAUGAAGAAAGCCAUUUUCCAAGGUGAAGGAUCAAGAAAGGAGAGAAACAAUGAAGGGCAGGCACUGGUUUUGACAUCUGCUAUGGACAUGGAAGGAAUGAAACUUGCAAAGUGGAACUAACUGGGCAUGGAAAAUGAUUUGAGAAAUCAUAAAUUAGCAGAGAUGCCUAUCAGCAGUCCAGAGGUCUAGAAGUCCUGACCAUUCUCACACCAUUAAACCCAGUUCUGACACACUUUGAACCAGAUCGUCUAAUUCCUCAAAGCUCAGAGCACCUUGUGCUCAUGGGCUAAUCUUCUCAACAAUCUCAUGAGGAGAGUAAUACCAGAGAAGUGGACCCUGAGAACUCAGAAAGCUAGCGACUAAGGAGAAGGUUCAGGAUUUGAACUCAGGGUGUCUGAUUGCAGAGCUAGAACUACACUGUGUAUAUGCAGAGGAAGCAUCCAAUGAAUCAUGAGCAUUUUAUGGUGACUAUUAUUCAGGUAUGUAUCUUCCAUGUAUUGAGUACUACUACCACAUGCUUAGGCUGGGUUUGACCUCUCAUCCCAUUUACUUUUCACAAUCACCCAUGGAAUUAGGGUUUCCGUUUAACAAUCAAGGAAACUG